rnacentral:rRNA from 1 species
AUUGAACGCUAGCGGGAUGCCUUACACAUGCAAGUCGAACGGACUGGCGAAAGGGUGAGUAAUGUAUCGGAACGUGCCCUGUCGCGGGGGAUAACUACGCGAAAGAGUAGCUAAUACCGCUUACUAUUGGUGCGGCCGAUAUCGGAUUAGCUAGUUGGUGGGGUAACUGCUCACCAAGGCAACGAUCCGUAGCUGGUUUGUGAGGACGACCAGCCACACUGGGACUGAGACACGACCCAGACUACUACGGGCGGCAGCAGUGGGGAAUUUUGGACAAUGAGGGAAACCCGGAUGCAGCCGUCCCGCGUGUGCGAUGCAGGCCUUCGGAUUGUAAAGCACUUUUGGCAGAAAAGCGGUCCCUACAGAAUAAGCACCGGCUAACUACGUGCCAGCCGCCGCGGUAAUUC